AGCCCUCGCGGCCAUCUAUUUCGUGGCCGGUGGCUGUUUGCCUGCCAGAGGCCAGCGGGGGCGGUCCAGUCCCUGGCUCUAGGAGCUGUUUCUGGCCGAGCUGAGCGCGGCGGGCUCGGCAUAGCCAUGAGUUGCUGAACUGGGUGGUUUUGCGGACCUGACGAUUCGCCAUACCCCGCUUGGUGUGUCACUGCCGUGGGCGUCUCCAGGUAGCCUCAGCCCAGGGGAUACCUGG
rnacentral:lncRNA from 1 species